AUCUACGGUCAUAUCACCCUGACAACGCCCAACUGGUCUGGUCUCAAGCUAAGCAGGGUCGGGUAUAGUUAGUACUUAGAAGGGAGAAUGGUGAAAUAACCAGAUU
rnacentral:rRNA from 1 species